rnacentral:misc_RNA from 1 species
GCAGGUUUCAUGAAGGAGAGCAUUAGAGUAAGUAUUGAAGGGAAGAACACAGUGAGAGCAGGUGGAGAACUUUUUAUAGGAAGCAACACAUGGUGUCGCUUCCAAGAAGAUUUUCAAGCACCUGAUGAUUGUAACAUCAAAAGGAUCGAUGUCAAAUUUGAGGAUGGAAUACUCACUAUCACUGUGCCACGAAAAAGGCCCAGGCAAUUAUUAGAUGAACAAACAGAACAAUUUCCUCACAGAAUCCCUCACAAGG